rnacentral:tRNA from 1 species
ACCUGGGUGGCCCAGUUGGUUGGGCUUCUGACUUCAGCUCAGACCGUUAUCUCAUAGCUUGUGGGUUUGAGCCCCGCAUCGGGCU